AACGAACGCUGGCGGCGUGGAUAAGACAUGCAAGUCGGACGGGAUUUUCCGUUGUAGCAACACGAUGGAAAGUCUAGUGGCGAACGGGUGCUUAACACGUGGGCAACCUGCCAGGAAGUGGGGGAUAGCUCGCCGAAAGGCGAAUUAAUACCGCAUGUGAUUAGAGAGGACAUCCUUUCAAAAUUAAAGUCGGGGCAACCUGACGCUUCUUGUGGGGCCCGCGGCCUAUCAGCUAGUUGGUGAGGUAACGGCUCACCAAGGCUUUGACGGGUAGCUGGUCUGAGAGGACGACCAGCCACACUGGGACUGAGACACGGCCCAGACACCUACGGGUGGCAGCAGUCGAGAAUUUUUGACAAUGGGGGAAACCCUGAUCGAGCGACGCCGCGUGGAGGAUGAAGGUCUUCGGAUUGUAAACUCCUGUCAUUGGGGAACAAGGCGCAGAUAUUAACUGUAUUUGUGCUGAUAGUACCCGAAGAGGAAGAGACGGCUAACUCUGUGCCAGCAGCCGCGGUAA
rnacentral:rRNA from 1 species